rnacentral:rRNA from 1 species
AGGACGAACGCUGGCGGCGUGCUUAACACAUGCAAGUCAAGGGGGCCCAGCAAUGAGCAACCGGCGAACGGGUGCGUAACACGUGAGCAACCUACCGAAAUGUGGGGGAUAGCCGGCCUAACGGCCGAGUAAUACCGCAUACGCUCUCGAUGAGGCAUUUCAUUGAGAGGAAACCUACGGGACAUUUCGAGGGGCUCGCGGCCUAUCAGCUAGUUGGAGAGGUAACGGCUCACCAAGGCAACGACGGGUAGC